rnacentral:rRNA from 1 species
UACGUAGGGUCCGAGCGUUGUCCGGAAUUACUGGGCGUAAAGGGCGCGUAGGCGGCCUUCUAAGUCGAACGUGAAAUCCCCGGGCUCAACCCGGGAACUGCGUCCGAUACUGGAAGGCUUGAAUCCGGGAGAGGGAUGCGGAAUUCCAGGUGUAGCGGUGAAAUGCGUAGAUAUCUGGAGGAACACCCGUGGCGAAAGCGGCUCUCUGGGACGGUACUGACGCUGAGACGCGAAAGCGUGGGGAGCGAACAGG